rnacentral:lncRNA from 1 species
AAAGAAGGGACACUCCAAAAUCCGGAACCAUCCAUUCAGGAGAAAACUGCUGGCUACGAGUGACGGUUCUGGAAGUCCUUGUAAAUCCAAAUGGUGGGAACACUUCAGUGCGAUCUCAUCCAGAGACCACCUCCAUAUCCUCAAUUAUGCUGACUCGAAAAUUCAGCUGGCAAGUAGACUUUGCAGAAUGGGGAAUGCAGGUGGGAAAAGCUACCGAGGGAGAUGCCUUGAUGAAGUCUCUGCACUCAAAAAUCCCAUGCUCUGGACACUGGGGGCCACAUCCAGAUGCACCCCCAAAACUUGGAUGUGGUCCCAGCUGGCUGGAAUAAAGACUUUGAUUGUAUAUACA